AUUGAACGCUGGCGGCAGGCCUAACACAUGCAAGUCGAGCGGAUGAAGGGAGCUUGCUCCUGGAUUCAGCGGCGGACGGGUGAGUAAUGCCUAGGAAUCUGCCUGGUAGUGGGGGAUAACGUCCGGAAACGGGCACUAAUACCGCAUACGUCCUGAGGGAGAAAGUGGGGGAUCUUCGGACCUCACGCUAUCAGAUGAGCCUAGGUCGGAUUAGCUAGUUGGUGGGGUAAAGGCCUACCAAGGCGACGAUCCGUAACUGGUCUGAGAGGAUGAUCAGUCACCUUGGAACUGAGACACGGCCCAGACUCCUACGGGAGGCAGCAGUGGGGAAUAUUGGACGAUGGGCGAAAGCCUGAUCCAGCCAUGCCGCGUGUGUGAAGAAGGUCUUCGGAUUGUAAAGCAAUUUAAGUUGGGAGGAAGGGCAGUAAGUUAAUACCUUGCUGUUUUGACGUUACCAACAGAAUAAGCACCGGCUAACUUCGUG
rnacentral:rRNA from 1 species